rnacentral:rRNA from 1 species
UACGAAGGGAGCUAGCGUUGUUCGGAAUUACUGGGCGUAAAGCGCACAGUAGGCGGCGAUUCAAGUCAGAGGUGAAAGCCCGGGGCUCAACCCCGGAACUGCCUUUGAAACUAGAUUGCUAGAAUCCUGGAGAGGUGAGUGGAAUUCCGAGUGUAGAGGUGAAAUUCGUAGAUAUUCGGAAGAACACCAGUGGCGAAGGCGACUCACUGGACAGGUAUUGACGCUGAGGUGCGAAAGCGUGGGGAGCAAACAGG